rnacentral:rRNA from 1 species
GACGAACGCUGGCGGCGUGCUUAACACAUGCAAGUCGAACGGUGAUGCUCCAGCUUGCUGGAGUGGAUCAGUGGCGAACGGGUGAGUAACACGUGAGCAACCUGCCCCAGACUCUGGAAUAAGCGCUGGAAACGGCGUCUAAUACUGGAUACGAAACUGGCCCGCAUGGGCAUGGUUUGGAAAGUUUUUCGGUUUGGGAUGGGCUCGCGGCCUAUCAGCUUGUUGGUGAGGUAAUGGCUCACCAAGGCGACGACGGGUAGCCGGCCUGAGAGGGCGACCGGCCACACUGGGACUGAGACACGGCCCAGACUCCUACGGGAGGCAGCAGUGGGGAAUAUUGCACAAUGGGCGAAAGCCUGAUGCAGCGACGCCGCGUGAGGGAUGACGGCCUUCGGGUUGUAAACCUCUUUCAGCAGGGAAGAAGCGAAAGUGGCGGUACCUGCAGAAGAAGCACCGGCUAACUACGU